GAUGAACGCUGGCGGCGUGCCUAAUACAUGCAAGUCGAGCGAACGGACGAGAAGCUUGCUUCUUUGAUGUUAGCGGCGGACGGGUGAGUAACACGUGGAUAACCUCCCUAUAAGACUGGGAUAAUUUCGGGAAACCGGAGCUAAUACCGGAUAAUAUUCUGAACCGUAUGGUUCAAAAGUGAAAGACGGUCUUGCUGUCACUUAUAGAUGGAUCCGCGCUGCAUUAGCUAGUUGGUAAGGUAACGGCCUACCAAGGCGACGAUGCAUAGACGACCUGAGAGGGGGAUCGGCCACACGGGAACUGAGACGCGGUCCAGACUCCUGCGGGAGGCAGCAGUAGGGAAUCUGCCGCAAUGGGCGAAAGCCUGACGGAGCAGCGCCGCGUGAGUGAUGAAGGUCUUCGGAUCGUAAAACUCUGUUAUUAGGGAAGAACAUAUGUGUAAGUAACUGUGCACAUCUUGACGGUACCUAAUCAGAAAGCCACGGCUAACUACGUG
rnacentral:rRNA from 1 species